CGAGGAAGAAGUCAAAUUAUCUUUAUUUGCAGAUGAUAUGAUAGUAUACAUAAGUGAACCAAAAACACCACAAGGCAAUUCUUACAGUAAACACUUUGAGCAAGGUUGUUGUAUACAUGAUCAACUAAAAAUAAACAAAUAAAAAUCAAUAAAUUUCCUAUAUACAAUAACAAACUGAGAAUAAAGCGGUGAGACAAAACACUUCACAUUAGCCUCACGUAAUGUAUGUAGGAGUAACUCUAAAAUAGCACGUGAAUGGCUUGUAUGACAAGAACAUCAGUGUUUGGAAAAAGAAAUUAAAGAAGAUAUUAGAUGACUGAAUAUCUGUCAUGCUAAAUACUGUGUAGUAUUAACAUAAUAAAAUAACAUACACUAAGCAGUCAUUAGAUUUAAAACAGUCACUUUCAAAAUUCCAACACAACAGAAAUUGAAAAGACAAUACUCCGUUUCAUAGGGGAAAAACAAAGAAACAUACAAAAAAAAAACAAAAACAAAAACAAAAACAGGAUAACUAAAACAAUCCUGCACAGUAUAAGAUUUCCCAUAGGUAGGACCAUUUUUUUUUUAUUUUGAGGUAUCUUACAUACCUGAAUGGAUCUUCAACAAAUGGUUCUGGUCAGAUUGGACGGUUGCAGGUCAGACAGUUCCGUAUGUUUCAAGUCUGUGCAGAUCUAAGAUUUCAACACAAAACCAGAUACACUGAACUGAAUAAAAGAAAAAAAAUGAACAACUUUCAACUCAAUGGCACAGGCUACAACUUUAUUCCAGUAUUUUUAUCACUUAUUAAUCAUUUCAUUCAGUUACAUCUCAAAUGAUAUCCCCCUGCUUGUUUACCCUCAAAAACCCCCUAUCCCACAUUAGCCCUCUCCACAUCCCCUUUGCCUCUAUGAGGAUAUAAGGAUAUUGCCCGACCCACCCAACUUUUCCUGCCCUACUGCUCCAGCAUCCCCUGUGCUAGGGAAUAAAACCUCCAUAAGAUCAAGGGUCUCCCCUCCCACUGAUCUCAGAAGAGACUAUCCUCUGCUACACGUGCAUCUGGAGUCAUGGGUCCCUCCCGGUGCAGUCCUUGGUUGAUGGUCAAGUCCCUGUUAACAUUGGAUGGUCCGACCAGCAGACAUUGUU
rnacentral:lncRNA from 1 species